CGGUUUCCAGGCGGGAAACCGUUGCCGUGGUGCGGCCCCGGGCGCGGCCGCCAUGGACGAGGAGGACACGAGAGAUUUUAAUGAGCGCUGUGCCCAGUGUUCAGAAGUGAACUGGGGUCUCACUGAUGGAGGCAGAUUUUAUUGUAGAUCUUGCCACAACGUUACUGAGAGAACUAGAGAAGUUGUAAACACUGAUUUUAUUACUAAUUCAAGAGUCCAAACAAUCUCCAAAAGUUUGAGAAAGCAGGAAAAAAAUGAUGGAGGCUGUGAGUGGUAUAUUUGUGAAGGCUUUCAGCUGGUACUCAAGAAACAAGCAGAAGCUUUAGAAGCAUUAGGAGUAUGUCCACAAAUGAAGGAUGAAAUUCUGUGCAAUUUUUGGAGGUGUUACCUUCAGAAGAGCAAACAGGCAUAUUGCAAGAGACCAGCUGGGGAAACUGUGAAAGCAUUGUCAGUAUGUGAGAGCAGUACUGAUGUGGACAGUGAUCCAGAGAGACCCAGCCUUCUGCACUUGCUGUCUCUGUCUGAAAGUGAGGGGGAUCUGCAGACCGACUGCAGCUUUGCCUCAUCAGUGACCAAGGUCUCAGAGAGCACCUCUGUGUACUCUGGAUCAGUAGAUGGCAGCUUGUAUUUAAUGAAGAACCAAAAGGAGAAACUGAGGAUGACGAUGCCAAUGACCCUUUCAUUUUGUUACAUGGCAUUACUCUGGUUGAGAGAACCAAUUACAUUGUCUGAGCUCUUAAGGUUUGUUGUUGAAGGACACAUUCCAUAUUUGAAUGUUUUUCAGCAUUUUCCGGAGAAGAUGAACUUAUGUGGACUAGAUCUUAGGAUCUUUUGUGUAGAGUCGUGGCCUGUAUAUGAAGAAGUAUUCAACAAAAUGCAUGAGCUUGCAGCGUUUUUAGACCUGCCUCGUUUUCCAGAUAUAACAGACAGCUGCUUUCUUCAUCCAGACAUGCUGUGCAUGAAGUAUUUGAUGGAAGCCAAUUUACCUGAUGAAUUGCAUAAUUGGACUUGCCGAGUGGUGAAAAAGAUUGGUAUUGGAGAAGUGGAUUUCCUGACUCUUAUGCCUGGAAAUAAGUCAACAAGAAAAGUGAAAUAUGAUGUUCUUGCUGCAGCAGUUAUUGUAGUUGUGCUCAAAUUACUGUUUUUAUUAGAUGAUCACUAUGAAUGGUUACUUUCAGAGUUUGCUGAAGAAAGAAAUAAAAAUAACACAGAAGGUGGUCCAUAUUUUGAGUUCAAGAAGUGGUAUGAGGUGGUAAAACAGUCCUUGGAUGUGGAGCAAAAGAAAUUGGAUGAAGAAAGAGCCAAGUAUCUGUGGAGAUGUGAAAAGCCGUUGUUUUACUCAGUCAAGAAUAAACCUAAAGUGCUAAAGAGAAGACAAAUGGUUGUGAACUUACAAAAUCAGUUUGGCAAGCUGUCUGGUUCAGUGCGACGUGCUGAAAAGCCAAAUCCUUCAAGUUUUCAGUUAAAUUGGUCUGAAGAAAACACAGAUGGGAGUUGUUUUCAUAGGCAUAGCCUGAAGGGAGUUUUGCAAGAAAAAUGUGGUUUACUGACAGCCAUGAACCCUGACUAUUGGCUGUGUACAGUUAAACUAUGUAAUGAGAAAUUGUGUGGUCAUCUGGCUCAUUACAGAGAAGUGGAGUUUCCCCAGAGUUACCAUUUUGUACUAGGGUUAUUCGCCUUUCUUCUGAGGAUUCAGCCCUCUUAUAUCCAUGAUGAGCACAACCGCUGAAACAAUUGGGUGUAAAAGAUUUAGGAAAGCUUCAUGGAGUAUUGUAGGCAAGGCAGAUGCUGCUGAAAUGGUGAGCAAGAGUGAGUAAGGAUUACCAGAACAGAGAAGGAAGCUGGUGUCCUCACAUGAAGUGAUUGCUGCCCUUGUACAACUGCAGCAUUUCCAGAGCCAGAACACGCCUCCCUCAUCCUUGGCAUCUACACUUUGCCUCCAGCAGUACAUCAGGUGGUUUUAGAAGAAAAUACAAGCACUUUCUUGCGGUGUGAAUGACCAGAGCAUGUAGCUGAUAAUUAUCAGGUAUGAGAUUUUAAACCCAUAUUUGUUAGGUAAGUCAUAACAGUAGCUAAUUCUUGUCCAGAAUAAAUCCCAGUUUCCCUAGACAGUGAUGUUAAAAGACAGACUGGAAAGAGGGGCAAGCAUGACGGGACAUUGCUCUGCUCAAUGGGUGCCAAUGGUGUAUAUGUGUGGUGGGGUUCCUUGCAUGUUUUGAGUGGGAUUCAUUUGAAAGGAAACAAAUGCGUGAAGAGGGGAAGGAGAAUGCUGAAAGAAGGACUGAGGCAGAGGGAAAGGUUAAGGGGAGGGCAUGAGAGGUGGAGGAGAGCAGUGAGUUCGAGGUGAAAGGGCUGAGUGAGGGAAGAAGUUGAAGGGAAGGCCAGUCAGCACAGGGCAAGGGAAGUCCUGCCAGAGCACUGCUCCACCAGGCUGGCGUGGCUUUAUGCCCCAGCCAAAGCUCUGUUAAAUCCCUUUGUGUUUCUUGCUUGAUUUUACUUGGUGGUGAUGCAACCCAGUUAGUGACAUCACAUAAAUACACCUACAGGUGGUGUUGCAGAGUCUAGAUUGUGACCGGCAGAUUAGUCGGCGGUGUCACAAUCCGGUGUUUAUAUCAUUGUCCCCUGAAUGUGGAAGCGAUUGCUAUGGCGAUAACCAAGUUUUCAUCAGUGUAUCAGGCUGUUAAGAAAAGGCAUCCCCUUUGCAGAGACAAACAGCUUUGAGUUAUUUGGAAUGAAAUAAUGGUAAACUCAAAUUAAGUGGAAAUACCAAGUGUGGCACAACACCAAGAUUUUAGCAAUUGGGUUCAAUAUAAACAUGUGACUUAACUCCUCCAGCACAUCCCGCAUCUGGGUCACCUAUGGCUACAGGGCAGUAUUAUAUUUUAUUGUUAAUGAAAAGUGUGCACCUGUGCCGAAAAGCAGCGAUCGCAUCUGCACAUCCCAGGAUUCUAUGAAGAGAAGCAGGGAGCAUGAGGAGGGAAUGAUACCCCAGGAAGUUAGAAGUCCUUCCCAGUACUUGUGAUUUUGAGCUGGUUUUGUAAUUUGUAUCGGAAACAAAGCAAGUUAUACUUGUUUGGAAAAAUGUAACUUUCCAAUAUCUUAAUCAGAUGACAGUAUUUUUUUCAUAUGUGAGAUCAGAUAAGAAAUUUCUUCUAUGUAAUCUUGAAUUAGAAUUUAAAGAUGGGUUCGACAUACAGAGUAUUUUUUACUGCAUGUCAUAAAGAACAAUUUACAUCGGUUAAUUUCAGGUUGUAGAGCAAGAUCCUACUUCAGUAUUGGUAUUUAUCUUUUGCCAUCCUAAUGGUAAUGUUUGCAGAUCCAAACAGAGCAUUUUGUUUCUAGAACACUAAUUGUAAUCCAGUCAGAGGAUAUUAAGCAACUUCCAGGAUUAGACCCUUAGUUAAAGUUUGUCUUCUUCAGUUUCAUAUUUCCUUCGGUUGGCUGGUUGAAUUGUCCUUCUAUAAUUUUGCAUUGGAGUAUAUCCUGUACAAAUAGGGAAGAGAUUUUGACCUAGAAGGAGAGACCUCUUAUUAGUGAGCAUACUUUUAAAUUACAGUAGCUAUCUGACAGAUCUUGACAUAUGAUAGAUAGCACUGUUGCUAUAUGGGUUUGAUUCAACUUGUUACUUAGACAAGCAACCUCCCACCCUUAUUUCUCAAGGAGAAACUGAAGAUCUUUCUGAUUUAACUUCAUGCAUGCCACUUUGGAUAAAUCUGAUGUGUUUGUGAUGUUGCUGCUGCUGUUACCUUGGAGCAUUUUGAUGCAGUUUCAGCACUAACUGCAUUGUAAAUGUCCCCUGCUCUCCAAACCCGGGUUCGUCUACGAGGCACUGAACGACACAUGGAUCUGCUGCUCUUCAGCAGCUGGUGCAGUGCUUGUGCAAAUUCACAGAACCAAUUAGGUUGGAAAAGACCUCUGAGAUCAUCGAGUCUAACUUAUGACUGAACACCGUGUCAACUAGACCAGAGCACUGAGUGCCACAUCCCGCCUUUUCCUAAAAACCGCCAGGACAAGGAGUCCACUGCGUGACUGGGUAUCCCAUUUCAAUGUCUAAUCGCUCUUUCUGCGAAGGAAUUCCUUCUAAUGCCCAACCUAAACCUUCCGCGGCGCAGCUGAAGACUAUAAUAAAGACAAUUCAUGUGAUUGUGGUGAGUUUAGAUUUUCCUAGAAGUGGGUGUAGUACAUGAAAAAGAAAUAA